CAGUCGCCGCGGUAAUACGAAGGGUGCAAGCGUUACUCGGAAUUACUGGGCGUAAAGCGUGCGUAGGUGGUGGUUUAAGUCCGUUGUGAAAGCCCUGGGCUCAACCUGGGAAUUGCAGUGGAUACUGGGUCACUAGAGUGUGGUAGAGGAUAGUGGAAUUUCCGGUGUAGCAGUGAAAUGCGUAGAGAUCGGAAGGAACAUCUGUGGCGAAGGCGACUAUCUGGGCCAACACUGACACUGAGGCACGAAAGCGUGGGGAGCAAACAGGAUUAGAUACCCCUGUAGUCCCUGUCUUUUAUAC
rnacentral:rRNA from 1 species